UACGUAGGGUGCAAGCGUUGUCCGGAAUUAUUGGGCGUAAAGAGCUCGUAGGCGGUCUGUCGCGUCUGCUGUGAAAACUCAGGGCUUAACCCUGAGCUUGCAGUGGGUACGGGCAGACUAGAGUGCGGUAGGGGAGACUGGAAUUCCUGGUGUAGCGGUGAAAUGCGCAGAUAUCGAGGAGGGAACACCGGUGGGCGAAGGCGGGUCUCUGGGCCGUAACUGACGCUGGAGGAGCGGAAAGCAUGGGGAGCGAACAGG
rnacentral:rRNA from 1 species